CGGUCAGUUGGGGCUCAUCCUUCGUGAUAAACGUAUCGAAGUCUAAACGAUCAUCAAAAUUCAUUCGAAUACUUUAUUCGCCAUUUUCUUUUAAUUGCCACGUUGACCGACUAAUCGAUCCCGCUCGUUCUACUAUUAAAAAGAAAAGAGUCACGCGAUUCGAGUAAUCUGGUGCAUGCAAACCAGCGAUAUCAGCCCAAGGUGCAAAGUGCUAACUCUAAAAGGUAACUGACCCUGUGCAACAACGCGAACGUUCAGGCAGAAUCAACCAAUUGCUCCGAGAGACCGGUGACCUCGGUAGGAAGAUCGAUCGCAAGCUUUCCUUUCAAGAAAUUCUCUCCCUAUUCAAUACGGCCUGGUUAUCUACCAACGAUCCAUAAAAGAGUAAGUCCUCCGAAGCUUAGAAAACAGAGAACAACCCAUCCCAGUGUUCUUUCAUCCUGAAGAACUUGUGACUUUAAUCCUCUCGCACGUCAAGUGAGCGCGGAUAGUAACGCGAGGCCAUUGGGUUGCGUUAGCGAGGGACCGAUUGAUUCGUCUCAACUUGACUCGAAAGAAGUCGAGUCGAAUCCCUGUACCACGAUCGAGCUGCCGCGCUCUCGCAAGGCCGUCAGGCUAUUGGAACGUCUGGUGGGAGCGCGUGAUUGCUCGUUCCGCACGGAUUUCCCGAAACACCCCCAAAACGGCAACCCGUCGUCGUUGUGGUGUUGCCGGGGCCCCGCCGUUAGCCGCGAGAGAUCGCGAGAAGGGAACUUGGCAGAAUCGGCGGGGCGAUCGCCCAGAGGAUCGGCCUCCUCGUGCGCGACCGGCUCCACCACCACCACCUACGCCGCUUACUGGCGGCCUAGUGAAAUGGAGGAGAAGUCCUCGGCUCGGUUCUCCGAGUACUUGUUCGCCAAGAUGGAUGGCCAGGACGUGUCGGCCUCUCAGGGUCCCCGUAAGGUGACCGCCGACACCAGAAAGUUCAUGCGGGAAAAUCUUCUUCUCAUAGUUACCCUCUCCGGUGUUCUCUUCGGCGUAAUACUCGGGUUCGGUUUACGACCCUUGAGCCUCGGCGAUGACGCAGUUAUGCUAAUCAGUUAUCCUGGAGAGCUCUUCAUGAGGUUGUUAAAGUUAAUGAUCUUACCACUAGUGAUUGCCAGUCUCAUAUCAGGCUCAGCAAGUUUGAACGCAAGAAUGAACGGAAUGAUCGCCGUCAGAACUUUGGUGUACUUUAUACUCACGUCGUUACUGAACGCUGUCCUUGGUGUUGUCCUGGUUCUGCUCAUUCAUCCGGGUAAUCCUGGAAUUAGAAAAUCGAUGGCGACCUCGCACAGCGGGAGAGCCGUUAACAUCUUGGACAGCCUUCUCGAUUUGGGAAGGAAUAUGUUUCCGGAUAAUAUUUUCCAAGCAGCGUUUCAGCAGGCUCACACCGUAUAUGUUCCAAAAACGAUGCCCUUUCAAAAUCUAACCGACUCGAUAUCUUCAGACGUUCUCGGGGACGAUGAAUUGAUGAGAGUAACACAAUACAGAAGCGGCACGAACACGUUGGGCAUAGUAUUCUUCUGCCUGGUGUUCGGCACGUUCUUAGGUACUCUCGGCGAGAAAGGCCAAAUCGUAAUCGACUUUUUCAAAGCUGUGUUCGAGGUUAUCAUGCGAAUGGUGUCGACUGUAAUGUGGAUGACACCGGUAGGCAUCACCUCGGUAAUUGCCGGCAAAAUACUCGGUGUCGCCGAUCUGGCAUUGGUGAUGUCGCAGCUCGCCUGGUUCAUCGUUACGAUCGUGAUCGGUGUGUUUUUCUAUCAGUUGGUGAUCAUGCAGCUGAUCUAUUUGGCCUUCGUGAGAAAGAACCCCUUUAAAUUCUACACCGGCCUCGCCCAGGGUACUCUCACCGCAUUCGCCAUGUCAUCAACGGCUGCUGCACUUCCGGUCACUUUUCGCCUGAUGACGGAUAAGCUUCGAGUCGAUCCUAGAGUCACCAGAUUCGUUCUGCCGAUCGGCUGCAACAUUAACAUGGACGGGACAGCGCUGUUCGUCGCCGUAGCUAGUAUCUUCAUCGCGCAGAUGCAUGGCAUGGUUUUGGGCUUCGGCGAAAUUAUAACGGUUAUUUUAACCUCUACCGCUGCGUCCGUGUCAUCGGCGUCAGUUCCAAGCGCCGCCUUGGUUCUCCUUCUGGUUGUCCUAAGCGCCAUCGAUGCUCCUGUUUACAAUGUCUCUCUUUUAUUCACCAUCGAUUGGUUCGUGGAUCGCAUUCGAACCACGAAUAACAUGCUGGGAGAUUGUUACGCCGCUGCUGUGGUCGAGCAAUUGUCGAAGAAGGAGCUGAUGGCGUUGGAUGCAGCAGCUUAUCAAUCGGAGACCGUUCUGCCAACGACUAUCGCAAACGGAUGCAUUUCCGCCAACAGGGUAUCCGAUCCUGACACCAUCGUCGUCGAAAUGCAAGACGAUACGAGGAUAGCCGGCGUCGCCAAGUAAACAAGCUUGUUGGUAGGGCUAGGCUAUCACUUUGUAAGAUUGCAACGAUCGCGUGCAUUUUCGUUACAUCCUUUAUUCUGCUUUGCUACCGCAAAAUCUCAUGCAAAUCGUUGAUAUUUACAAAUGAUUCACGGCAGGCUUUCCUCAUGCAUCAGCGUAUUGCAGAUACCAAGGAGCGUGACGGAAGAGACAGUUUGACCUGCGCUAACGUUCCAAAAGUUAGUUUAGCUAGCUGCGUACAUAUAAAAUACCAUCGAGUGUGAUGCGUUCAACUGGGAUCAAAAAACAGUACACCGGCUACGCGAAUGUUAUCCUUUUAUCGCAUCUGUUUUCUACUCUUACAGAAUGUGUUCGAAGGAAUUACAUGAUUGCAACCAUAACAGAUAUCAAACAUAAAGUCAAUACGAAAGAGUGUGCUACAUGAUUCGCCAGUCGUUUAGUGCUAUGAUCGUAUAGCAAUAACGAUAACGAAACCAUUUCUAAGCUUUUGUAGUGGCUUCUUCGAGCGAGCUGAAAAUCGCCAGAUCACCGAUUCGAUUGCACUCUGGAGUAUUAACGAUCGCGUGAACAGCGUCGGAUGUGGUGCCUUAUUUUAACGGCGGCGUGUAAAUGGCCGCCCGAAAGUAGUAAAAGCGCUUUUUAUUUGCCAAGCGUAGGGCAGCGUUAACUCAUUGCCUGGUAAAUAUAUCCCGUGACCGAUCAUUGUACUGCCAUAAAAUCUUUUGUACAGUGUGAAUUGUGCGAAUCGAUGAAACAAUUUCACGAAACAUUUAACUAAUCGAGAACCUUUCUUCGUUAUCAGACAAUGAGUGAAACCUUGCAUGGUGCCACGAUGACUUUGUGACGCUUGAUCGAUGUUCCCUUUUACAUCGGAUCUUGAUCGAUUCUUGACAAUUACGUGGAAGAAUAUCGAAACGUUGGUAAAGGGUUUUAUGCAACAUUUUGUGUAGCGUUAGAAUCGUUGUGAUAUGAAUCGAUUAGCACGAGUCACGAUAGUAAUUACUUACAAACGUAUCAUACCAUCGGUUAACGUUUGAUAGAUAGAACAUCGUUAAACACUACCAAUACGUAGACGAAACAUUUCGAAAGAAAACGUAGAUUCCUUUAGCGUUUAUCCUACCGAAUUUCAUAUUUGGACCAUCGACAAACGUAGAUCGGUGUAUAGAAAUCUUUACCGAAGAUAGAUCGACGAUCUUAGAACCGAAGACAUUUUUGUCCGAGAUAUUUGUCGACAAGUACCGAAUCUGCGAUUCUGCCUCUGUUUUCGAUUAAACCUUAGGCCAAUUUCUAUCUCGAGUUACAGUUGCCGACUUUGUAACACAUCCAAGAAGAUGAUUAAAAGGAAAAAAAAACAGAAAAAAGAAAAAGAAAAGAUGACAUAGCGCUCGUAAACGAGAAGUUUCAAGACUGGACAUGCCAUUUAAAUUACAAUGUAUUUAUACCGUUAUAGGAGAAUUCUGCAAAGGAUUCACUAAUUUUAGGCACUAGAAACGUAGGUCGAUACGUGUUCUCUCGUAGAGACUGUUUAAUGUACAAAUUAACUGGAUAAAUAGUGCUUCGUAGCGAGCUCUCCGUCGCUUGAAAAAUAUACACGGGUUCGUCGAGAAACUUGGAAUAAUUUUCGCAACUUCGUCGCCGUUUUCGUUUAACAAUUUUGCUUUUCAGGUCUCCCGGUUGUCGAAUUUGCGUCGAAUCGUUUACCUUCGAGUUUUGCCGUAGCCCAACCGUUUGCGUAACAUUGAUUUUAUUUUUCGUUCAAACUGCGUAUACGAAAGCGCGCUUUGUUCGUAGUCUUAUAAUCUGAAAGAGCGAAUAGAGAAAUAAUUUAUCAAAAUACUUCAAAGACUACAUGUGAAUAUACUUGUAAGGCUCAACGUGUUGUAUUACAAGACGCAGAUUUAUACAA